rnacentral:lncRNA from 1 species
UUUAUAAUGAAAAAUGUCGGAGAUAAAAUGCAAAAGCAGAAUCAGUGAUUGAUAUAUUUUGUAUCCCAGAGGGAUAGUUAGCACUCCAUUCUACUUCCUUGCAUCGGUGUAUUGCCAGUCUUGUUCUCUUUCAACAAAGGGUGUAUGGAAGUUAAAAAAACUCACAUAUUUCUGAUUGUUUACCCAAUUUCUACCUUGUCGUUGCUCUGAAUGUUGGCAUCUUCCUUUGCUAUUCAGUUAUCUCACAUUGUUGCUUCUUGGAUUUGUCUUUUGAUUGCAAUCUAUGCAGAUAUUCCUUUUGAGCCACAUAAGCUUUAUUAAACACACACAUCUGAAAUAUUGGCAUUUUCACUAAUGAUGUGAACGUUUUGUUCAAGGUAUGUCAGGUGAUUUGAUUUAGACAAUUUCACUGCCAUGUGACACUUCCGGCCCUUCUUUUCAUGGAAUUUGAUUAAGAAGAACAUUAGUUAGGCAUUGAUCAAAAUAGAAAUUAAAAACAAAAACCAGAAAGUUGUGCCUUUCUCUGUUGGUGAAAAUAUUGUGACUAGAGGGAGCCCAAGUAAGUUUCCCUAUAGUAUCCCUAGAAGCAGUGCUUCAAGAUCCUCCCAUUUGUACUUACUGUAGAAUAUAUAUUCAAUAAUACAUAUAAAUUAAAAGGCAUUGUAUUUAUAAAAUCAUACAAACUGAAUAAUAAAACCAUAACGAAUGUCUAAAAGGAAAAGAAAUGGACCACUAAGUUCACUAAUGUAACACCAUUUUCACGUCAGGGAGAAUCCUCUCUGGACAGAACUGGCUCAGUACCACUGCAUUUAUGUGUGUGUAUUUAGAGUGUGUAUGUGUGGGGUUGUGUGGGUGUGUAUUUGUGCCCUCAUAGGUUUAUUCUCAUGUAUAAAUCUUGCAUUCAAUUUGAAUGUUCUUCUCAUUUCCCAUGAUAUUUACAUUGAUCUCUCCAUUUUAAUUUCAGAACAACAUCAGAGGGAAUACGUUCCAAUUCUCAGAAGACAACGAUCAGAAAUAACUUUGGAGGUGUUUGAAAGUUUUGUUUUCCUACUUCCUGGUAUUGUGCCCUCAUCUUGA